GCGCAGUCCCACAAGUUUGCACUCUGUUUCCACGCCCAUGAAUCCGUGCUACCUUGGUGCUGAGACUUCGGUUUAAAAAGGGAAUGCAGAUGACUUUUGUGUGGUUUGCUCAUUGCUGGAAACUGAUGCUGAUAAGAGCAUGAUUGAAAUGGUGCAGUGUGAUAUGUGCAGUAGGUGGGCACAUUUUGAAUGUGCCCAAUAUGAGAAAGACAGUUGUUUGCCAUAUCUGUGCAAAAAGUGUCAGAAAAAAGAAUAAUGUUCUCAAUGAUUUCAUACUGUGUAAGCCCUGUUUAGAAUGUCCUUAGAGUUUCCCAUAUUUUGUAUGUUUUAUUUAUAUUUUCUUUUUUACAUAAAAUUUUUUUUUAACGAGUUUGACAUAUUUUACAA